GGAAAACAUUCCCUCAGGCUGGGCAUUAUCAAAUAUUUAAGACAAACUUUAACGACAGUCAACUUGGCCUCAUUUUUCUAUGUGCUCUGUCUGACACAUUCAGAAAACUUGCACCUGGGCACAAAGUUGUUCGUCCAAACUCACUGCCCCUGUUAUUGGCUAACUGGAAGGGCUAGGAUCCAGCCGUGCUUGGAAUUAGGCAAUUGCCAUUGUAAUUCCUUUACUAAGAACAAUGACCAUUUUACAUCGCACUUAGAGUUUUUCAGGUAGGUUAUAGGCAGCAUGUAUUUAUUCUUUUCAAUAACCUCACACAUCACGCCCUUUUUACAGAUGAUGAAUGGAACAAAGAGAGCACUGAGCCAAAGCGGAGGCUGUCUAGUCAAGGUCUCCACCUGCCGCGGGACUGGGGAGAACGGUGUGGCCUCAAGGUCUCCACCUGCCGUGGGACUGGGGAGAACGGUGUGACCUCAAGCAUAUAGCACCAUAGCACUCCUGGGCUGAAAGCCAGCAGCAGCCCCCACUGUCCAUUAGAUGAAGUCCAAAUUCUUUAGCAAGACAUAUGAGCAGUUCCUCAUCAGAUGCAAAAUCUACUUCACUUGUCUCAUUUCCCACUCUUUCCCAUUUUCCUAAAAGCACUGGGCUCCAGCCACACAACUCUAUGCUAUUCCCCGUAUACAACUUACUCAAAUGCACCACCAAGUUUUGCAGAUGGCCCUUGGCCAGACGCCCUCCUCCUUCCUCAUUUUGAAAACAUUCACUUAACUGAGCUCAGCUGUCAUGACUCCAGAAUGAUCUCCCCUAAGGUCUUCAGGUAAAGUGGGUCACUACAAUACAGGUACAGCAAGGCAAAAUUGUCUCCCAUAUUACAGUUGGCCCUCCAUAUCCAUGGGUUCUGCAUCUAUGGAUUCAACCAUCCACAGACAGAAAAUAUUUUUUGAUUGCUUCUGUAUUGAACUUGUACAGACCUUUAUUUCUUGUCAUUAUUCACUGAACAAUACAACAACUGUUUACCUAGCCUUUACAUGUAUUAGUUAUUCUAAAUAAUCUAGAGAUGAUUUAAAGUACACAGGAGGGUGUUUCUAGGUUAUAUGCAAAUACCAUGCCAUUUUAUAUCAGGGACUUGAGCAUCCAUGGAUUUUGGCAUCCAAACAGGUUCCUGGAACCAAUCCCCCUGUAAGGAACAUGGUUGUACUUUGGUCAAGGAUAGGCAGAGAUAAACAUCCAGAAUGACUCCACGAGUUUAGAGUGCAGGUGCAUAAUUCCACUUGCUAUCACAGCCAUGUAGCCAUAACACGGGAAGGCUCAUCAUUUGACUCUAAGCCACUAUUGCCUGUAAAAAGUAUAAUUGUCCUGCUGACACUGUACAGAUGCUCACACCCAGAGAAAGGAAGAGGGCCAAAGCUGUCCAUCUUGCAGACGGACAGGAGGGAGCCAGGACACAGCUCGGCUUGCUUGUGCCCAGAGAGAGAAAGAGUGAAGCUGCUGAACCCGAAGGCAGGGGAGAGCCAGCCACACAGUUGUGGGUGGGAGCCACUGGACUAAGCAGCCAAGACAGGGUGAACAGUGUAGGAAAGCUGCUGAUGAGAGGACAAAGUAAAAGAGCUAAUAUAAGUAAGCUGUUUAUGAGAGCUGCUGCUGAAUAAAACCACAUUGCACUUGCCUACAGCCCCCCAAGUGUUCUUUCAGCUAUCUACUCAUCGACUCACUCCCUCCGGACCUCAGCAUGGGCUGAAACCUGACCCCAAGGGUGAUAUUUGGUGUAGUCAUGGACCUGACACCCCACAGACACUGAAGGAUGACUGUAUAUUAUUAUUGGGUUAUUCCUUAUAUGUUCAUCUUUGCAAUUAGACUAUGAACUGAUCUAACGUGGAAAUGGUUUCUCACUCAUCUUUGUAUCUUCCCCUGCCUCUGAGAACCAGGUAUGUGCUCAAAACUGCCUGUGGGCAUUGCAAUAGCAAAGAUAUGGAAUCAAUAUAGGUGUCCAUCAAUGGAUGAGUGGAUAAAGAAAAUGUGGUGUAUAUACACAAUGGAGUACUACUCAGUCAUAAAUGAGAAUGAAAUCCCAUCAUUUGCCACAACAUGGAACUGGAGGUCAUUAGUUAAG
rnacentral:lncRNA from 1 species